rnacentral:rRNA from 1 species
AUUGAACGCUGGCGGCAUGCCUCACACAUGCAAGUCGAACGGUAACAGGUUAAGCUGACGAGUGGCGGACGGGUGAGUAAUGUAUCGGAACGUGCCCAGUUGUGGGGGAUAACUGCUCGGAAGAGCAGCUAAUACCGCAUACGACCUGAGGGUGAAAGCGGGGGAUCGCAAGACCUCGCGCAAUUGGAGCGGCCGAUAUCAGAUUAGGUAGUUGGUGGGGUAAAGGCCUACCAAGCCUACGAUCUGUAGCUGGUCUGAGAGGACGACCAGCCACACUGGGACUGAGACACGGCCCAGACUCCUACGGGAGGCAGCAGUGGGGAAUUUUGGACAAUGGGCGCAAGCCUGAUCCAGCCAUGCCGCGUGCGGGAAGAAGGACUUCGGGUUGUAAACCGCUUUUGUCAGGGAAGAAAAGGUUCUGGCUAAUACCUGGGACUCAUGACGGUACCUGAAGAAUAAGCACCGGCUAACUACGUGCCAGCCGCCGCGGUAAGCC